GAUGAACGCUAGCGGCAGGCCUAAUACAUGCAAGUCGAACGGUGUCUUCGGACAUAGUGGCGCACGGGUGCGUAACACGUAUGCAACCUACCUUACAUUGGGGGAUAGCCUUUCGAAAGGGAGAUUAAUACCGCAUAAGACAGUAGCUGGGCAUCCAGCAGCUGUUAAAGAUUUAUCGAUGUAAGCUGGGCAUGCGUCCAAUUAGCUAGUUGGUGAGGUAACGGCUCACCAAGGCAAUGAUUGGUAGGGGAACUGAGAGGUCAAUCCCCCACACUGGCACUGAGAUACGGGCCAGACGCCUACGGGAGGCAGCAGUAGGGAAUAUUGGGCAAUGGACGCAAGUCUGACCCAGCCAUGCCGCGUGCAGGAUGAAGGCGUUAUGCGUUGUAAACUGCUUUUAUACAGGAAGAAACGACACUUGCGAGAGGCAUUGACGGUACUGUAUGAAUAAGCACCGGCUAACUACGUGCCAGCAGCCGCAGUAACAC
rnacentral:rRNA from 1 species